ensembl:lncRNA
UUUGUAGCAUAGCUCAUUUUAUUGUUUAAACAGUUUUGCAUAGGAAAUAUAUCCACUUCCAGUAAUUGACUGCAGUAAAAACAGCUGCUAGCAGUAUAGGCUGGAUAUAACAGUAACAAUCACAAAAAGUUGAGCCUUAUUUACACUGAUUUUAAUCUUGUGGCAAUUUUAGCCCCUGCACCAAAUGUAACUAGCUUGAAGGCAUCGCCUAUUGGGUGGCGUUGAUAAAAAUCAAUAAAAGAAGGGAUAUCAAGGCCUUUGCUAUACAGUUCACAAUGGACACCUGUGGCUCCUAAACUGUAAAUGAAAAGAUGAAAAGAACAAAAAAAAAAAAAAAAAAAAAAAAAAAGGUUUUCCAAAAGUCCUCUAAAACAUACAUUCAGAUACAUACAUAGACCUUUGCACACACUUGCAGUGUAACUACGAUCACUACUGGAGACUGUUUACAUAUUGUUUUGUUGGUGUUGUUGUUGUUGUUCCUUUUAUAUAUUUAUUUAAAUAUAGAUUCCACCGUGAUUCCUAAAAUAGAAAUGUGUGCGCAGCAGGAAGUAAAAGUGCCACAAGACCCAAAAAGAAAUCAGCCCUGCAGAGAAAAAUGGUGACUAAAGAAAUUCCGUCAUUGCGCUUAAUGUAGCACUGACCCUCCCGCCCAACUCCCCCUCCCUCCCUGAAAAAAAAAAAGAAAAAAGAAGAAUUUCCUAUUAUUAUUAUUUUUUAACAAAUCCGACGUGGGCAUCGUGUGCUGACGUAAUUCGAAAAUGAAUAAAUCACAAAAAAAAAAAAAAAAACACCAAAAGAAGUGAUAAAGAGCAUAUUUUCAGAAGCAUUUGCCACAUUCUGCUUGGUGUGACGCCGUUUUCUUCUCGCCACGUAGGAAAGUUAAGCUUAUCACAUUCUACAUAUUGUAUACAACAGACACUUGGACAGCUUGAACAGGCACUGCAUUGCUAUCUUUUAGUCUCCUUUUGGUGAAUGUUACAUCCUGUAAAAAUGCUGGUUUUUCAUGUUUCAUAACAACCUGAUGCCAAGUGACUAGCAGCUAGCCAAAGUAUGGAAGAUGUAUAUUGCUCAUGUAGGAUGAAAAUGAAGUUUUCUCUUAAGUCUGCAUGUGUACAAGCCUCUCAGUCCCUACAGAAUGUGUGACAUUCAGUUAAAAAGGAACAAUCUCACAUAUUGCAUGAGUGCCACAGGUCCUCCUUGCAUAAAGUCGUCCUGUUUCUCUGCGAUCGCAGCGAUCAGUGUAAUAAUACUUUCCAGUCUCAGUAUUUGCUCUGAAUGGGGGCUCUUGAAGCUGCUGAUGGGUUGAACACUGAUUUUUUAAACCCGAAAACACUAGCUCAGCUGGAAGGUACAGUACCCUAAUCUGAAGCACCUGAAAAGCAUGUAGUAUUUGUUUGUAGUGUGAAUGGAGGGUUUCCUAUAGUACAUCAGGUUUUGACAACGUGUGAAAUGACAAAAGUGCAAAAUGAGUGGAUGCUUUCUUUUAGGAAAUUCUUAAAACAACAUCGCCUGCAUGCGAACGACGCACACGACUCCAAACUUGCCAGAUAUACGGUGAGAUGCAGCACCAAUCACGUUGCGACAAUUGUGAUUCUUUUUUUUUUAAGAACUAGAAGAAAAAGGAAAAAAAUAAAAUCCGACAGAUUCAUCAAGGACGUUUGUCACUGCAGAUUUUACCCUGCUUCUCACUUAAGGUCAGGUGCAAACUGGGGCCUUUGCCUUACAGGUUUACUUCCCAGCUGCUACAAGAAACACACUCACACCACAAUCUUGUUGGACAAGAAUUCACACCCAUUUCCAAAGAAAAGAAAAAAAAACCAACCCCCGAGAUAAAUCACAUCACACGCUCUAUGGCCACACUACUGAAAGAACAACAAUUCAAAUAUUCAUGAAGUCUUUCCCAAGUGGAAAUAUCUAAGCACUAACCAAGUUCAGAAAUAAUAUUAAUAAGAAUAAAAAAAGCCUUCAAUGUUGUUGUUUCUUAAUAUUUAUGGAUCAGUACA